CCGCGCAGCUGGGGAGUUAGCGGCACCCUGUACCUGCAAUCCGCUACAGCAGGAGUGAUGUAUUGCCUAGGGUAAAAUUUGUGGAGCUGCCCGAUAUAAGUGGUGUUGACGUUUGGGUCUUUCGCAACAGAAAUUCAUGAAUCAUGUCAGGUCAGGAAUGAAGCAGCAUUAAGUGAAACCUUUUGUGUGCCGGAGGGUCGCCUAAACUGAGCUAACUAUAUCGGUAACGUCUGGGGAUUCCUAUUCGAAGCAAUACGCGCGG
rnacentral:SRP_RNA from 1 species